UAUAAGAACCCUUAACCCCCCCUUCUGUCUCCAUCCUUUCCCUUUAUUAUUCAUUGGUUCCUAUGACUUUCGUCAUCUAGAUCUUCUUCUUCUUCUUCUUCUUCUUCUUCUUCUUCUCCUCCUCCUCCUCCUCCUCCUCCUCCUCCUCCUCCGCCUCCUCCUCCUCCUCCUGCUAUUGUUAUUGCUGCUGCUACCACUGCUACCAGCACCGCUACUAUACUAGUUUGUCUUAUAUGCCUUUUUGGGAGAAUCAAGCCGUUGAUACUUCAGCCGUUCUCUUCUCAUCCGUGGCUUCACAUUAGGUUCAGGAAGCAAUGGUGCAGCCAAGGAUGACUUGCCGACCCUUCAAUAGAAUUCUCCUGUUCCUCCUUUGAAGGAAGUUUGAAGAAAGAGGCCGGCAAGUUGUCUUUGGCUACACAUUUUUUCCUGCUCCUCAUGCGAGUCCUGUGAUGACACUGCUUGUAUGGUACCCAAUUCCAGGAGUUGUUCUUAAAUUCUUGGCGUGCUAUUGAUUGAGCAUAACAACAGUUUUUAUCAGACAAAAAAAAUGCUUGAUAUUUCUGUAUCAUUUUUUGUAGCUCUUACAGUAACAGGUACAUUACAUUUUCUUAAGAUUCUCCAUUUUGUUAGCAAUAUGCUCCAUUCAGAUCAAUAUAUUCGUGCUAAUUAAUAGGUCUAUGUGAAAUACAAUUCAAAUUCAAGUAAUACAAUUCAAAUUUGAGUAUUGCUUCCUGUGGCUGUUAAGUGCCAUCCUUUUGAUUUAGAUUAGAGUUUACUCCGUGCAUUUUUAGAUUUAAUUUCCAUGAUUUAAUUUGGUUACUUCUUUUUUUCGAUGAAGAGGGAAGGAGACCUACCCUAUACUUUAUUAACAUUAAUUUGGUUACAUUGAAUGAUAAUACACAUUAGAAAGAAGGAGCUUUCUACCUGCUAAAGGUUUUGAUUCUUGUCAUCUGUUCUGGGCGUGCUCUCCACUUAUGGACUGAAGGGGCCAUUUCUUAUCACUCUCUCUCUCUCUCUCUCUCUCUCUCUCUCUCUCUCUCUCUCUCUCUCUCUCUCUCUCUGUGUGUGUGUGUGUAUGUUGAUUUGCUAACCUUUCCAGUCUACAUUCAUUUGACGGCUUUUUGCAGUACCCUUAACUCCAAAUUAAAAUCAUCUCGCAAAGUAGAACAUUAUAGAUAUUGGAAUUAGGCUCGAUUCAAAUAGCCAACAUCCCUUUGCUCGCAGGUCAAGAUACGACCCCUUAAUUGGGAAAUAUCAUGGCUUAUAUCCCAUUGUACUGAUUAAUUAUUCGGUUAAAAAUAAUCCUUGGUACACAAGCAGAAAUGACAGUUUCACGGCACAAUGAUUAUUGAAGCUCUUGGCAAGAUCGAUUUGGACUAAUGAUGCCUGCUGUUUUUUUUUUUUUUUUUUUUUUUUUUUUUGAUGUCUGGUACAAUUGCUAGAUUAUGUAGCAGGAGUUAAUGAGAUCAUUGGUUGAUGUGAGUCCUAUUUUUAAAUAUUAGCUUACCAACACUCUUUUACCAGGCAAAUAACCCACACAUAUAUAUGCUAAAUUUACACUGUGAUCUUUUGUCAUAUGAUUUUUUUCGUAGGAUUCUUCCAGCUCUUGGGUUUUUGAUCAAUACUUUGUUCCCUUUUCUAACUUCUUGUAUUAGUUCCAUAAUAAGGAUUUGGAGACUGACCGAUAUAUCCAUUUGUGCAUCAUUUCCUUUUCUUUAUCUGCUAAAAAUUCAGCACAAAUGUGUUACUCUCGUUAGGAUGAUCCCCCAAUAUUUUAGCAUUAUUUAGUGCUAGGAGGAUUAUUAAAUGACCAUGAAUCAUAUAUUUAUGCAGCGAUUUCACAUUCUUUUGUAGUACAUUGUUUUUGUCAGUUAUAGGGAUUCAUCACAUGUGCUCAUGGAUUCUCUAAUUUCAGAGAGAUUUGAGAGAGAGUGAGAGAGAGAGGUACAUGAUAUUGUCUACCCUUAUUUCUUCUAGCAGACAAGGUACGUUUUAACCUUCCCGACAACUUACCUUCUACUAGCGACAUGUAAGUUUUGGUUCUAGUAUUUGAUAUCACGUUUCACUUGUAACUCUCAUAAUUUUAAUAUUUGAUGAAACAUUCUGCUGCUAAGACUUCAGCUUCAUCGAUGGAAACAAGAUCGAGAGUCCGUCCAUUGAACGUGGUACUCAUCCGAUGCUGUUUCCCAUAUACAGCUUUCUGAAACCAAAUAGCUCAGUCUUCGAGCACCAAUAGAUAUUUAAUCUAGCCAUAUUUCAGUUUUAGACAUCCAUGAUACAAGCCACCGCAUGCAUGCUUGCAGCAACAUCAUGCAAUAUCAGAAAAUGUUUCCGUUUUUUGGAUGACAAACAUUAGAAAAUGUUGUAAUAGAAGUUCAAUUUGCAGCAAGUUUGCAUGGCACAAUCACAUUCAUUGUAUGUCUUUAGCCAUACUAUUUCUUUCCAGAAGAACACACCUCACUGCAAAACUAAUUACAUUUUUUUUAAAUUUCUUAGAAUAAUGAUGAAAGUGUUGAGAUUAAGACCUCUCUCCAGCACAAGCGCUAAGGAGGCAGGUGCCAACCAGCAGACCAAAGUCUGGUUUGCCCAAAGCACAUCACUUAGAUUUUAACUUUUAUUCAAGAGACGCUAUCUGUAGAACCAGCAUUCUUUAUAGUUGCGAUUUUUCUGAAAUCUCAACAUGGAAUUAAUGGCCGUGAGUCAAUAAAGUCCUCCAUUUUUUUCCCUAACUAAAAGAAGUGAUUGAUUACUCCAGAAAAGGGAAGAGGAGAGAUCAUAUAAGAGCGGAGGGCAAAAGGCCAUAGAGUGGAUAGCAUAGAGUAUUCAAGUCAAGCUGUGGAACAGCAGUAAGGCAUCACUGCUGAGGAAUCAACGCUAGCUGAAAGCAAUUGGUUGAACACUGGCCUACAGCUCAACAUUCAUGACAAAAUUUAGCAUCAUCUUUUCUGAAGCAUUUUGUGACUUUGUUACCGAAGUCAGAUCUUUCUUUUCAUAUUUUCUUAAUUGCUGUAUGGAAAGUACUGGUGCUGCUGAAAUGAAAGGACGGUUAAUUUGGACACUUCCACACUGAUGCUAACUCUGAAAAAUUUUCAAAGAAACUUUUGAUUGCUUAACUAAUGGGAGGUAUUAAAGGACAGCAUUUGUUGGAUACGGUGCGACAUGUGGAUCCCUCUCAAAAGCAAUAUGUUGUGGACUGGGAUAGCAGCUUCUUGGAAAAACCAGAAGAUGAAGAUGCGAGGAUCCAUCUCUUAUGCGCAUUGUGCUUAAAAUUUGGAAAUAAGAUGAAGGCUUAUUUCUCUCUUUUUAUUGUGAAAUGGAAGACAAGAUGAAGUUUUAUUUCACCCGAGUAGAAAAUGCAAUGAGAUGGAAUACUCAUACUGUUUUUUGUAAUUUUAUUUUGUAAUAGAGUAUUCGCAUAUGAAUUAUGUGAAUAGCUUGUAUGACUAGCGUAAUAUAAACUUCACCUACUUUCUGUCGCC